CCGCGGGGAGGUUCGGGGCGGCGCAGCCCCGCGCGGUUGUGGGAUCGCUCCCGGGGGCCGCUCCUCUCUCGGGCACUGGGGUCGCGGGAGACGUCGUCGGGAGCUCGGUUUCUGGAGGCCCUUCCCCACCCGGCCUCUGCCUCCUCCACUCCCCCGGGCUGGACGGAACGGGGCCCAGCGCGGGAUGCGAGAGGUAUGAUUUCGCUCUGUCGCCCAGGCUGGAGGGCAGUGGCGCAAUCUCGGCUCACUGCAGCCUCGAACUCCUAGGCUGAAGCGAUUCUCCCGCCUCAGCCUCCAAAGUAGCCGGUACUACAGGCGCGCGCCACCACGCCUGGCUAAGGUGUGUGUGUGUGUGUGUGUGUGUGUGUCUCCAAAGUAGCGAGGACUACGGGUGUGUGUGUGUGUGUGUGUCUCCAAAGUAGCGAGGACUACAGGCUCCCGCCACUACGCCAGGCUAAGGUAGGGUGUGUAUGUGUGUUAACUUUUUGUAGAGAUGGGAUCUCCCUUUGUAACACGGGCGCCCGCCACUAAGCCAGGCUAAGGUGGUGAAUGUGUGUGUGUGUGUGUGUUAACUUUUUGUAGAGAUGGGAUCUCGCUUCGUAACCCGGGCUGGUAUCGAACUCCUGUCUUCAAGGAAUCCUCCCGUCUGGACUCCUCCCAUGGGAUUACGGGCAUGAGCCACGGCACCUGGCUAUUUUUUUUUUCUAAGCAUUUAAAUAAGCUGGGGCUUGAUUUGGGAGUUUUCUAUUGUAUUUUGAGCUUUGCCGAGGACUUGAUAGUGACCUUGCUUUAAGCUGUGAAAUAAAUCUUGGGGUCCCAGAGCUAUUUUAAUAUUGAAUUCGCUGUGGAGUUGUUUUGAGUUCCUUGGAGGUUAACAUGAGAUAGAAAACUAAGUUAACACAACUCAUCGACUGCCCUUGCUUUGCUUUGCUUUGCUUUUAGAAUGCCAUCGGGUUUUGUCAUGUUGGGAACAAGUUAACUUAGGCCAGUUGACUAAGAUCAAGGAAACUGAGGCCCAGAGAUGAAAUCAUGCCUUGAUUUAUGCAGACCUCAGUACCUGUUCGUGACAAAUCCAGUUACUAAAAGGUAAGAGAAGGAAUAAGGGACUUGAUAUUUAUCUAGCAUCAGCAAUGUGUGGACAUCGUGUGAACGGCUUUAUAAACAUUUCAUUUAAUUCUCUACAUCUAGCCAUUUUUUAACCUGUGCUUUCCCUCCCUCUCAAAGUACUGUUUAUACAUUUAUUAGUCCAUAUUUUAAACGCUCCAUGCUCUCAACUGUAUUAAUGCUAUUUGUUAGGAUAAGUGGCAGAUGUCCAUGGAAAAUAAGUGGCUGCAAAGUGGUAAUGCUGACCAGAUGAGAAAAGAAGUGUAAAAGGGAAGUUCUAAAGAAUUAAAGCCCUGGAGAGGGUGGGUAGACAACAACAGUCCAAAAUAGUGCUCUUCAUUGAGGCUGUGUAGAUUUUCCUGCUUCCUGGGAAAACUGGGGCAUAUUUACACUUGCAUGUGUGUAUUCAGAUUGUCUGGGGCUAUGGAGUUUGGGUCAGAUUGCUGAACCCGUGGGAGAGAAGUUCCCUUGUUGUCUGUUGUUGUCUGUUCUGAUUGCUGCUUUGUAAUUUGGGCCACAUAUGAAAGUCAGCAUCCAGUCAUUGGACCAUAGGUGUGUGGCAUAUCUACUCAGAUGCAUUAAGCUAUUUUUAUUUCAUUAUAAAAUGUAUAACAUUUACAUUCAAAUUAUGGUUUGAAGGGCUUAAGAGGAGAAAGAGACAGUGGCACUAAGGUGACAGCAUGGCUGGCUGCAUGCUUCCUGUCCAAGAAGGUCACUGGGCAGUGUUAACUGGGAAGAGCAUCUGGAGGAUGAGAGAUCAGUGUAGCCACAUACCCUUAACAAAGGGUGGUACAGCCUCUGGUCUGCCAGGAUUUUUGUGCCCCGCCCCCCUCCCCCUCUUUCCCUAUCUCCUCUUUGACAUUUCCACCAUAUUCCCCUUAGGUAUGUACCUGUUUGGACUUUAAUUUAGAGUGUAACUUUUGGUCAAGAAUCCUGGAGAGAAAAGACGGGUACUAAAGCCUCGCUAGUGAUUUACCUGGGUGCCGACCCCCACAACUCAUCCACCCUACAUGCAUACUUCAAACUCCUCCAGGCAGAUACUCCCUGCCUGACACACAGUGACACUUUGGGAAAAAUUGCAGAACAGUAACCAACUCUGAGCAGAUAAAUGUGAUGUCAAAAUGAUAGUAAUGAGAGAUGUCGUUCGUUGAAAGCCUGCUAGCUGCCAUGCACUAUACUAUUUCUUACAUCUAAAUCUGAUUAAGUUAUACCCCAUUUUAUAAAUAGACACUUUGAUAAGUAAACCUAUCUAAGAUCAAAAUACUGAGAAAUGUCCUAAUUGGGGAUUUGAACCUGGUUCUAAUUCCAAAGUCCAAGCUACAUCCACCCCAACCUCCUACCUCCUAUCUCCAAGACUUUGUGAGUAAAAAAACAAGUGUCACUUCUCUCCUUCUCUUUUUUCUGUCCUAAAGGAAGCUGGGAGCUAACCACUUAGGACUAGUACUAAUCUUUCAGAGAAAGGGAUGAGGGGAGCCUUGUUAUUUCUGUGGGGUUCAGCUCUCAGACCAGAGUAAGACAGGCAACAAGGUUGAGGAGUAGCCAUAUGCAGAAAUAACCUGUGUAUCUAGCCACAGGAUCUCCAACACUGUGUCACUCGGGAAUCAAAAUACAGAGACAGUUCCUCAAUAGAGUGUGGAUCUAGCCCAGAAUGUGGACAAGGGGAGUGGAGAAGGGGAGAGGUACACACUGAGCAUUGUAACAAGGCCUGUCCUCAAGCUUGAGGAGGAUUAGGAAGAUGGCUUGAGUCUGGGAGUAGGAGGCUGCAGUGAGCUAUGAUUGUACCACUGUACCCCAGCCUAGGUGACAGAGUGAGACCCUGUCUCUUAAAAGAAAAAAAAAAUUGACCUGGAUCUACUCAUACCCACCCUGGUCUUUGAGCAGAAAGAAUCAUUUGGGAAUUAUUUUGUCUCAUCUUUCUCCAUGAUCACUGUUGAAGAAUUUGGUCACUGUAACCAGGUAAAUAUAAAACUCAGGUGGGCCGGGCGCGGUGGUUCACACCUGUAAUCCCAGCAGUUUGGGAGGCUGAGGUGAGUGGAUCACGAGGUCAGGAGAUCAAGACCAUCCUGGCUAACACAGUGAAACCCUGUCUCUAUUAAAAAUACAAAAAAUUAGCCAGGCGUGGUGGUGGGCGCCUAUAGCUCCAGCUGCUCGGGAGGCUGAGGCAGGAGAAUGGUGUGAACCCGGGAGGUGGAGGUUGCAGUGAGCCGAGAUCGUGCCACUGCACUCCAGCCUGGGUGACAGAGCAAGACUCCGUCUCAAAAAAAACUCAGAUGAACUAUAGCUAAGUCAGUGCUCUUGACACUUUUUUAGCAAUAGUAGCUUUGUUUCUCACAGAAAAAACAAAAUUUUCUGUGGAACCACACUAUUUAAAACAUAAGCAAUAUUAGUAUCAACUUGUAUAAUUUAUAGAUCUACUGAUAAAAACAAUCAAGAAUAGUCUACCUUAAUUGAAUCAGGAGGAGAUAACUGCAGUCUUACAUCAGCCAUACUCGUAUCCAUGAAAUAUGAGUCAGUCAUUUGCACAACUCCCUGAGUCACCUUCUGGAACACAGAAAACACUGAGCCAAGUUAGCCCAGGACCUGAACCUUUUGUGGAAAGGAAAAUCUGUAGUGUCUCCUCAGAGUAUGGCUGCCCUUUCACCUGGUAGUCAGUUUCUCAUGACGGUUACUCGAGCAUUUAUAAGGCAGUUGUGAAAUAACCAAGACAUUCUGUGUGUUGUGCUACUGAUGCUCCUCCUGUCACCGACCUCCUCUCCAAAUGAGGCCUGCCUUUUGUCCUUGGUAGUAGGCAGUCCACAGUGUAACCAGCUACAGGGGAAGUAUUUACUUUGAUAGCCACUUGACCUUGAUCAAGUCAGGUGACUCAUUUCUGGAUAACAUUUUUGAGAGUAUACUGAGCCAGGCACCUUGAGGAUACGAAAGUGGAUUAUAGUUUCCAUUCUGGAGAAACUCACAGUCCAGUAAGUUAAACAAUCACAAGAACAAGUUUCCAGCAAUGAGAGUGAUUACAGCCACUGAGUGGUGAAAUCUGAGAAAUGCAAAGCCUGCCGCCUAUAAAUACCUACAUUUAUCGCCUGGGCAUAUACCUAAAAUUCCACCAUGAGAAAUAUAUUUAUAUGAAAUUAGAAACUACCCAGAAAUUGUGCGUCCAAAUAAAAAUUCCCACAAGAAAUAAGGAUGGCUAAUAGUUUUAAGUAGUAGUGUCAAGUCUUUUGGACCAGAGUAACUGCCAGGGACGUUGUGUUGAGGAUUCUGAGGUCAUGUUCCAGCUUAGCCGAGAAGGGAGCCACCAUGAGGGAACGAGUGAGGGAGGGUAGCACUUGUGCCCCAUAUUUUUUCCUAAGUAAAUCAUUUGUUGAUGGAAUGCAUGAUGAAACAGGGACAGCCAGGGUCUCUGGCAUCUGGGAGAAAGCCCACUUGGAAACUGAUUUAUCUACCUCACCACUGCAAGUUCACCAUUUGUCCCCAGACUAAAUGGCCUUAGGAAGCCCAGGCUCUGUCUUGUCGAACUCUACCUUCUUUAUCCUUCCAUACUUUUCAAGAAGAGAAAUGGUAUAUAUAUGUGGGAUCCUUGAGAACUAGGAUGUACCUGUGAGCAGGCAAAGUGUAGCAUCUAGCAGGGUCAGGCAUAAGUUGGAAGUGAGAGAGGUGGCUACUGUGCUCCCCAAUGGCUGUUCUCCCAUCUCCCAUAGUUUCAAGGCCUGUUUUGUGAGGAACAGCAGUAUGCCCAGCUCAAAGAUGACAGCUGGCCACAGGACUAAGUCUGGCCAAUAAGAUGUGAGUGGACGCUUCCAGAAAAGCUCUCUAAAGAGGCUACCUCUAGCCAGGCGCAGUGGCUCACGCCUGUAAUCCUAGCACUUUGGGAGGCCAAGGCAGUGGAUCACCUGAGGUCGAGAGUUCAAGACCAGCCUGGCCAACAUGGCAAAACCCCGUCUCUACUAAACAUACAAAAAUUAGCCGGGCAUGGCCGUGCCGCAUGCCUGUAAUCCCAGCUACUCAGGAGGCUGAGGAGGGAGAACUGCUUGAACCCAGGAGGUGGAGGUUUGCAGUGAGCUGAGAUGUUGCCACUGCACUCCAGCCUGCACGACAGGAGCGAGCCUCCAUCUCAAAAAAAAAAAAAAAAUAAAAGCUGCCUCUUCUCUGCUUCUUGGAGUAUGGUCAGGAUAGCUGGAAUUCUAGCAUCCAGUUUUGAAUGCCAAGUGACCUUGAAGAUAGAAGCCAUGAACUAAGAUAAUGUCCCUGUGUAAGCUUCUUUUACAUGAGAGAAAUAAACUGUGUGUAUAAAUCAUUGUUAUUUUGAAUUCCCAAGUUGUAUGCAGGCAAAUGUAAUCCCGAUCUAGCCAGGAAUUGGUAUUAUUCAUUGAUAAGAGCUUCAUAUAUUCAUGUUGACAGUUUUCCUUGAUUGGCCCCCAGAUGAUAGGUAUUGUGACCAAGACCUGUGGGGCUAUCAUGUGUACUUGGCUCCCUAUAGGAGAAUCCAGGAUGGAAUGGAAUGAUACAGUAGGCAGCCUCUGGAGCCAAGAUACGGUAUAGGUAGGAAAAAGAAAUGAUUCACCCAAGAGGCAGAUUAGGCCCAUGAAAAUUAGGAUUGUCAGAUGCAUUACUUUAAUACAGCACUUCUUCAGUAUUCCCAGAACUGUAGCUAAUGGUUCCUCUGAAUAGGAAGCUCCUUGAAUAUACCCUGGCAAGAAAUCUUUCUAUCCAAGGUGACUGGCAUUGGGAGGGGAUUUAUUGAGUGUCUCCCUCGAGCCAGGCACUUUCACAUACCUUAAUCUUAGUUAACUGGCUUCACUUCAGACCCUGUCCCUAACAGGACAAAACCCAACAGCAUUUUGAAAGCAAAACAGGGAUAGUUGAUGAGUUGUAUUAACGUACUUGUCUCUGUCUCACGUUAGUAACCUCCAAGGAACUCAAAACGCACUGCAGCUAUAAUUCGACAUUAAAAUAGCCCUGGGCCCCCCAGGAGCAGCUCAAUAGACCCUACUGAAGCAGGCGGUCCUGUCCCUCCCCUGCUUAAAAUCUGUCAGUAGCUUCUCAUUGUUUUUAACUAAAAACCCAGCCCACCUGACAGUCAGGUUGGCCUGCUCGCCAGGCUUUCUCCCCAGCUGCUCAAACCUGCUCACAACUCCCUCUGUGUCUGCCACUCUGGCCUCUCACUUUACUCCUGUGACCUCGUCCCUCUGAGCACCAUUCCUCCCCACCUCUGCAUGUCUUUAAUCUGACUUAAGCUUCAAGGCCUGGCACAAACAAUGCUUUUCCUUUGUCCUUCAUACUGGAGAUCAUAAACUCGCAUAGAUUCUCUCUGAAUAAAUAAAUAUUUUCCAUGCCAGUUAGCAUUUUUUUAAAACUAUAAUGACUGCAAAAUAUAUUGUAUUAGGUGUACUCUAACUUAUUUAACCUCUCCCCAAAGAAUGGACAUUUCAUUUGUUUCUUUUUCAGGAUGAUAAAAAACAGUUACGGGAUGAAAAAAUUUUUUUUUAUUUUUUAUUUUUAGUAGAGAUGGGGUUUCACCAUGUUAGCCAGGAUGAUCUCGAUCUCCUGACCUUGUGAUCCACCCAUCUGGGCCUCCCAAAGUGCUGGGAUUACAGGCAUGAGCCACUGCACCCGGCCGGGGAUGAACAUUUUUAUAUGCUAAUCUUUGUCAGCAUCUGCUCAUUUCUAUAAAAGGAAUCAUUAGAAUUGGAAUUCCUAGGUCAUUUUGACCAAAAAGGAACAUUUUUAAAUCUCUUAAUAUUGCCAUAUGACAUCUUAGAAAGUUUACAUCAUUUUACACAAAUAAUUGUUUCCUUAUCGAUGUUCCAAACCUAGAGAACUUUUGGUCAUUCUGUGAUCUGUAAUUGGAGAAAUUUCCAUUGCUCUAGCAGCAUUUUAUACAUACUUAUCAAGAUGUAUUAUGAUUUAUACACAUUUAUCAAGAUGUAUUAUGUUUUACUUGCAUUUCUCCAAGUAAGCUCUGAAGUGGAAAACAGAACUUGUUUUACUCUUUGUAGCACAGUACUGAGAACAGUAACACCUAACAGGCCCUUUCUAGGUAAAUCUGCAGAAACAGUAAUUGUCUCAAUCUCAGUUUCCCUGUGGUAGACCAAAAUAAAGCUUUGCAUACCUAACCUAGGGAAGCUGCAUACAGUUGGAGAGCUGGAUUCAACUAAACCUGGCCUGACAGCUCUUCAACAUGUUUUUCUUUUCCAAGUUCCACAUUGCUCACUGUGUCCUUUUAACACUCCUGUUUUUUAUUUUAUCCAUCACACGAAGUUGUAGUUGGUUCUGCCUGCAGUGUUUCUCCAUGAUGUAAUAUAACCUCAUUAUAUACACUCAGGAGCCUGAGAAAUGAGUAUCACAAACCACAGAGUCUUCUUGUUGCUUAGUUACUAUCCUGCAUUUCCUGGAGACUUUACCUUGGCAAAGUAUAUGAUGCUACGUUUUAAUGAAUGUUGAUUGGUCACUGUAUGAUAAAUGCCAGGAAAAACAAUGAAUGAUAAAAAGAAGUGUAAAUCCCACUCUUCUGCCUAUAUCCCAGCUCCAUUUUCACGUCUUUUGGUAUCAGCCCCAGGAUUUGGGGUCUUCUGUUUGAAAAUGAGAUCAGUUCCGUAACAUCUGUAUAGCUUUGCUUGCUAUGGUACUGGGCUGGAAAGAGGCAGGUCAAAGCGAGUGCCCCCCUCACUGGUGUGCCCUGAGGAUGCAGAGGCCCUCUUUGCCUGGUGAUAACACCUUCAAUGCCCGUUAGGGGGCCCAAAAUUGCCAGUUUAUUAUCCCUUUGGGACUGAUGCCUUAAAAUCUCAUUUUGUCUUUGAGAAGUGGUAUUUGGAAUAUUCACACAUCAAAGUGUUAUCGUUCUCUGCUAGCACAGUACCAGCUAGUUUAUCUUAGCCAGCUGGCUUACCUCUCAAGGCACUAAAGGAACGGAAAAACACAGGGCAAUCUCUGUAAGCCUCGUUCCUUCACUUGGUAACCUCUGAAAAGCUAGAGAGAAAGGACCAGUGAGAGAACAGGAUCAGCUCUUGCUGGGGGUCCAGCCAGGAGCCACCAUGGAGGGCCUGGAGCACUUAGAGGAAAACAUGGGGACAUCAGGUAUGCAGGAGAUCAGGCAAAAAACAGUAAAGUCAGCUUAGGAAAGACUCGUACCUCUCACCCCCACUGCCUCAACCUCCUCCAAAGUGUAGAGUUCAUAGCUUUUCCUUGGGAAGCUUCUGUGUAUACAGUGCUCAACAGAAGAGAGGAACAGGAUUUAGGUUACUAUCUUCCAUACCCUAAAAGUGAACAUUGUAAUAUUGCAAAUACAGUAGCAGAAGGAAAGCACUUCUCAGGAAGUAAAAAUACAUCUACUCCUGCUAACAGUUUUCUCCAUUCACAAAAUAUUACUGAUUUUUUUAAAAUUUGGAAAGAAUAUUAAUAUUCAUAGAUGUUAGAUUAGUUGGGCAAAAUAUGCUAAAAAUUGCCAUUUAAUUUAUAAUAGUGAAAAACAAUGCAACCUAAAUGCCCAUGAAUGAUAACUAAUUACAUACAGUGGACUACAAUGGAAUUCUAUGAAGUCAUAAAAAUAAGGAUGUACAUCUGUAUUUAUUGUUAUAGAAAGAAAGCCACGAAAUAUUGUUGAGAGAGAAAGCAGAUUGCAAAACUGAAUAUAUAUGCAAAGAGAUGUUUUUAGGGAUAUUCACUGUUAAACAGUGAUUAACUUAGUUGACUUUUUUUUCCUCUGUUCCUUCUUUUUUCUUUUUUACUUUAAAUAUUUAUCUUUUUUAAAAGAAAUAAUACAUUUCCUCCCUCCAAAAAAGAAUAGCCUAGCGAAAUAUUUUUACUUCAAAUGCUUUUCCCCUUAUUAAUCUUUGUAUAAACCAUUGUGGUUUGCUAAAACAAGGAAGGUUGUAGAGUAGAAUCCAUGCCCACGUUAGAACAAAAUCCAGGCAGGAAGACACUUCAUACGUGGUUAUAAGACCAGGAGGACGAGGAGACAAAGGGAAGCAAUGGUGUUUGUUUGUUUGUUUGUUUGUUUUAAGAGACAGUGUCACUCUGUCACCCAGGUUGGAGUACAGUGGCACCAUCAUAGCUCAGUGCAGCCUCCAACCCCUGGGUUCCAGCGAUCCUCCCACCUAAGCCUCUCUAGUAUCUGGGACUACCGGUAUGCACCACCACAUCCAGCCAAUUUUUAAUUUUUCUUUUUUUGAGACAGGGUCUUGCUAUGUUGCCCAGGCUGGUCUCAAACUCCUAGGCUCAAGCAAACCUCCCAAAGCACUGGGAUUACACGUGUGAGCCACCACACCCGGCCUAGAAGCAAUGGUUCUGAUCCAGGAAAAGUGCAGCCUGGAAACUCAGCAAUCUGUACAGAAUCCUAGCUCUUAGACUAAAAGGCAUCAACUGGUACAAUUUCUUGCCUUUGGGCACUGAACGUGUUAGCUUCUAUUUUAUUUAACUUACUGUAAAAUUAUAUUAGCUAUGCUGCCACUUAAGCCAAGAUGCUUUCUGUCUAGUCACUUCGGUUCCAUCCUUUUGAGCGCCCUGCCGUUUCAUUGCCUCUCCUUUCUCAUUCCUCUCCCCAAGGCUGUACUUUGAGUAACUGUAUGUGCAUUUUCCUGUGCCUUUUCAUUAUUAAAACACUGUAAAAGGUAAUGUCUCCAAAAUGCAAACCAUAGUCUUCUCCAUUGAAAAAUAUUUUCCAGGCCAGGCACUCCACUGUGCCACUGCACUCCACCUGGAUGACAGAGUGAGACUCUGUCUCAAAAAAAAAACAAAAAACUCAUUAAACUGUAAAAUGGGCGCAUUUUAUUUUAUGUAAACUGUAUCUCAGUAAAGUUUAUUUAUUUAUUUUUGAGACAAAGUCUUGCCCUGUUGCCUAGGUUAAAGUGCAGUGGCAUAAUCAUGGCUCCCUGCAGCCUUGAACUCCUGGGCUCAAGCGAUCCUCCUACCUCAGCCUCCUCCCAAGUAUUUGGGACCACGGGCAUGUGCCACCAUGCCCAGCUAAUUUUUUUUUAAGAGAUGGCGUCUUGCUAUGUUGCCCAGGCUGGUCUCGAACUUCUGACCACAAGAGAUCCUCCUGUCUUGGCUUCCCAAAGUUUUGGGAUUACAGGCAUGAACCACCAGGCCUGACCAAAGUUGAUUUUAAAAAAUGAAAGGGGGGCCAAGCGCAGUGACUCAACCCUUAUAAUCCCAGCACUUUGGGAGGCCGAGGCGGGUGGAUCACCUGAGAUAGGGAGUUCAAGACCAGCCUGAUCAACAUGGAGAAACUCUGUCUCUACUAAAAAAUACAAAAUUAGCUGGGAGUGGUGGCGCAUGCCUGUAAUCCCAGCUACUCGGGAGGCCUCAGCUUGAACCCUGUAGGCAGAGGCUGCAGUGAGCUGAGAUCACGCCAUUGCACUCCAGCCUGAGCAACAAGAGCGAAACUCUGUCUCAAAAAAAAAAAAAAAAAGGGUCUGUGCUUGGUGGCUCACACCUGCAAUCCCAGCACUUUGGGAGGCCAAGGUGGGUGAAUCACCUGAGGUCAGGAGUUCGAGACCAGCCUGGCCAACGUGGUGAAACCCCUCUCUACUAAAAAUAAAAAAAUUAGCCAGGUGUGAUGGCGCACGCCUGUAGUCCCAGCUACUCAGGAGGCUGAGGCACAAGAAUUGCUUGAACCUAGGAGGCAGAGGUUGCAGUGAGCCGAGAUCAUGCCACUGCAUUCCAGCCUGGGUGACAGAGUGAGACUCCAUCUCAAAAAACAACAAAAAUGAAAGGGAAAUAAGAGUCAUUACCAAUAUAAUUAGGUUUAAAUUUUUAGUUAAAAUCAAAUUUUAACUGGGAUUGCCAAAAAUGUCCUUAACUUCAUAUCUCCAAAUAAAAUGUCUGCAGUUAAUUUAUGUUGUUUAUACAGCUAGCUAAUUCUCUAUAUUUUUAUAGUAUGUUGACACUUAAAAUUUCAAUCUCUUCUAGUGGUUCCAUGAGUGGGACUGAGGGGAUGAUGGGUGUUCUCAUUAUAGCCUUCAGAAGGCUGCCUAUAUAUAAGUGUGCACAAAUAACUAUUAUUCAGAGAAUUAGAAUCAUCACAAAAUAUCCUUUAUGAAGGAUAAAUAUAGGCUAAUUUAUCCUUUAUGACUGUUAAAUAUAGGCUAAUGUUUCUUUUAUUCUUCAGACCCAUUUCAACUUUAUAGAAAAAAAAGUAUGCACAAAAGCAGCACUCUAUAAUUAAAAAAAAUUCCUUAUUGGUCUUUUGGAUUUUGGUUCUGCAUAAGUAUGAGUUUCUCAUCAGGCCUCUCUAGACUACUAAAGCCUAAAGUGAUGCUUCCCCCAUCUCAGCUCUUAGAGGAAUUACUGGGUGUCUUGUUUAUUUGGCAAUUCCGUGCUUACAAACUCUUUUCAAUGAGAUCUUCAGCUCCUUGAGACCACAGUAGAUACCUACGUAUUUGUCGGUGUAAUUUUGUUGUGUUGAUUUACUGAAUUCAAAGGGUUUGUACAAAUACUUUGUUUACAGGGUUUCAUUACAAAUCCAAAUAAGCUCAUAUGCUUAGUAAUUCCAAAAAUGUUAUAGGUAUUCAGAUUAGCAUUGCUCAUUCAUGCCAUUUAAUUUACAGAGCUCAGCUGCAGUAAUUUUCUCCAGUGGAUGAUGUAAGGAAGGCAUUGGCAGAGGAGUAAGAGACUUGGCUUCAGAGUGGGCAGUAAUAGGGCUAAAUCUGGUUUUACAAAGCAGGUACUGUAAAGCUCUCAUUGCCUUUCUGAGGACAAGGCUUUGAGCUAUGAGUGCCAGGGUCGUCUGUCUAAGUGGAGGCUUCUUAAAGGAAUUGAGCCUCGUUUCCUGGGUUUGAGGUGUAUUCUUUUUCACAUUCCCUUUGUACACCAAAUAUAUUUAGUAUUUAUUAUCUUUGAAGUUUAGACCUUUGGAAUUUUUUUUUUUUUUUGAGGCAAAGUCUCACUGUAGCCCAGGCUGGAGUGCAGUGGUGUGAUCUCAGCUCAUUGCAACCUCUGCCUCCUAGGUUCAAGCGAUUCUCCUAUAUCAGCCUCCUGAGUAGCGAGGACUACAGGCACGUGCCCACCAUGCCCUGCUAAUUUUUGUAUUUUUAGUAGAGACAGGGUUUCACCAUGUUGGCCAGGCUGGUCUCAAACUCCUGACCUCAGGUGAUCUGCCUUCCCUGGCCUCCGGACAUGCUGGGAUUACAGGUGGGAGCCACCACGCCAGGCCACAGUUUGAUGAGUUUUGAGAAAGUAAUAUACGCAUGUAACCACCAUCACCACAAUCAAGAUCUAGAACAUUUCCAUCACCCCAAAAUUCCCUGGUACUCGUCCCUGGUCCCAGGCAAGCCCUGAUCUGUUUUCUGUCACUGUGGAUCAGAUUUGUCUUUUCUAGAGUCUCAUAAAAAUGUGAUCUUAUAAAAUGUAUAGACUCUUGUGUGUAAGGUUUCUUUUCCUCAGCAUAAUGUUUUUAGACUUGUCUAUGUUGCAUGAAUGAGUGGUUCAUUUCUGUUUAUCACUGAGUAUUUUUCCAGUGUAUGUAUAUACCACAAUUUGUUUAUAUACCACAAAUGUUGAUGGACAUUUAGGCUUUGUCCAGUUUUGUCUAUUAUGAAUAAAGCCAUUAUGAACAUCUAUGUACAAGUUUUUGUGUGGACAUGUUUUCUCUUGGGUAAAUAUCUAGGAGUAAGACUACUGGGUUGUAUGCUAAGUGUAUGUUUAAUUUUAAAAGAAAUGGCAGCCGAGUGCGGUGGCUCAUGCCUGUAAUCUUAGCAAUUUGGGAGGCCGAGGCGGGCAGAUCACCUGAGGUCAGGAGUUCGAGACCAGCCUGGCCAACAUGACGAAACCCUGUGUCUACUAAAAAUACAAAAAAAAUUUGCCACGCAUGGUGGCACACACCUGUAAUCCCGCUACUUGGGAGGCUAAGGCAGGAGAAUCGCUUGAACCUGGGAGGUGGAGGUGAGACUGAGCCAAGCUCACACCACUGUACUCCAGCCUGAGCGACAGAGCGAGACUCCAUCUCAAAAAAAAUAAAAAAUGGCCAAACUGUUUUCCAAAGUCCUGGUACCAUCUUACAUCCUACCGGUAAAGUUAUGAGAGUUGUAGUUGCCCUACAUUCUCACCAAUACUUGCUAUUAUCAGUCUUUUUAAUUUUCACCAUCCUAAUGGAUACGUAGUGGUAUCUCACUGUGGUUUUACUUUGCAUUUCCCUGAUGGCUAAUGAUGUUGACAUAUUUUUGUGUGCAUGUUGGAUACUAAUAUAUCUUUGUAAAGUGCCUAUUCAGUGUCUUUUCCAAUUUAGUUGGGUUGCUAAAAAGUCUUCAUAUAUUCCAGAUACAAUACCUUUGGCAGGUAUGUAGAUAUGUGUUGUGUGACUAUUUUCUCCCAGUCUGUGACUUGUCUUCAUUUUGUUAGCAUUGUCUUUUGAAGAGCAGAAGUCUUUAACUUUGUAAAAGUCUAAUUUUUUGCUAUCUUCUUUUAUAGCUCUUGUCUUUUUUUGUUUUUUUGUGUGUGUGUAUUCAAUUAUCUAAGAACUCUUUGACUCCCUUCAGAUCAUGUAAAUGUUCUCCUGUUUUAUUUUAGAAAUUUUAAUUUUACCUUUUUUUUUUUUUUUGAGACAGAGUCUUGCUCUGUCACCCAGGCUGGAGUGUAGUGACGUGAUCUCAGCUCACCGCAGCCUCUGCCUCCCAGGUUCCAGCAAUUCUGCCUCAGCUUCCCAAGUAGCUGGGACUACAGGAGGCAAGCACUGCGAUGCCCAGCUAAUUUUUGUAUUUUUAGUAGAGACAGGGUUUCACCAUGUUGGCCAGUAUGGUCUUGAUCUCCUGACCUGGUGAUCCACCCGCUUCGUUCUCCCAUAGUGCUGGGAUUACAGGCGUGAGCCACCGCACCCAUCCAAGUUUUACCUUUUAAGCUUAGGUACAUGAUCCAAUUUGAGGUGAAUUUUGUGUAUGAGUAAGUUAAUAAUCAAUGUUCAUUUUUUCCCAUAUGGAUAUCCAGUUUUUCCGGUACCAUUUGUUGAAAAGACUGUCUUUCCCCUAUUGACUUACUGUGGCCACUUUGUCAAAAAUUACUUGCCCAUAGACAUGCGGGUUCAUUUAUUUUGUUCCAUUGAUCCAAAUGUUGAUCCUUUAAUAAUAAUGUAGCUUUAUAGUCAGUCUUGAAAUUUGAUAGUUUGAAUAUUCCAACUUUGUUGUUCUUUUUCAAAAAUUUUUUGCAUUCUAAGUCCUUUGUGUUUUUAUAUAAAUUUUAGAAUAAGUUAUGUAAGUGCCUGCUGGGAUUUUCUUUUUUUUGAGACAGGGUCUUACUAUGUCACCCAGACUGAAGUGCAGUGGCAUGAUCACAGGUCAUUGCAUCCUCAACCACCCAGACUCAAGCAAUCCUCCUGUCUCAGCCUUCCAAGUAACUGAGACCACAGAAAUAACCAUGGAUAUGGGUAGAGACAGAGCCAUAUGGAAUGCACACUGCAGUGGUGAACACAUGGCCCAGCUCUGCCAUCAAGGAGAAGGAACAUGAAUGGAGCUGGAGGCCAUCAUCCUUAGUGAACUAACACAGGAGCAGAAAACCAAAUACCACAUGUUCUCAUGUGUAAGUGGGAGCUAAAUGAUGAGAACACAUGGACACAAAGAGGGGAACAACAGACACUGAAGCCUCCUUGAGGGAGGAGGGUAAGAGGAAGGAGAAGAUCAGAAAAGAUAACUACCAGGUACUAUGGUAGCUUAGUACCUGGGUGAUGAAAUAAUCUGUACACCCAACCCUCAUGACAGAAGUUUACCUGUGUAACAAACCUGCACAUGUAUCCCUGAAACUAAAAGUUUUUUAAAAAGUUAUUUAAUAUAUAUAUAUUUUUUUGAGACGGAGUUUUGCUCUUGUUGCCCAGGCUGGAGUGCGGUGGCGCAAUUUCGGCUCACCACAACCUCCGCCUCCCAGGUUCAAGCUAUUCCCCUGCCUCAGCCUCCCUAGUAGCUGGGAUUACAGGCUUGUGCCACCACGCCGGCUAAUUUUGUAUUUUUUGUAGAGACGGGGUUUCUCCAUGUUGGUCAGGCUGGUCUCGAACUCCCGACCUCAGGUGAUCCACCCCCCUCGGCCUCCCAAAGUGCUAGGAUUACAGGCAUGAGCCACUGCGCCCGGCAAAAAGUUAUUUAAUAUUAAUGGGACAAUACUCAUUGCAAGAAUCAGACUUCAAUUGCUAGCAUAAGUAAAUGACAGGCAGGAGAUAUUGAAAAUGCAAUCUUAUAGACAUUCAAGGAGAGGACGCAGGACAUUUCUGUGUCAUAAAUGUACUAUGGAAAAUAAAAAUGAGAAAAAUGGAAAUAAAAUACAAGAAAAGGUUAUGAUAAAUUUCAUAUUAUUUUACCACAAUAAAAAAAUUUUAAUAAAUUAUAAAUGGUGUGAUAUGUUUUGCCUGUGUUCCACCCAAAUCUCAUCUUGAAUUAGAGCUCCCACAAUUCCCACGUGUUGUGGCUGGGACCCUGUGGGAGAUAAUUGAAUCAUGGGGGCAGUUUACCCCAUACUGUUCUCUUGGUGGUGAAUAAGUCUCAUGAGAGUUGAUGGUUUGAUAAGGGGUUUCCCCUUUUGCUUGGCUCUCAUUCUCUCUUGACUGCCACCAUGUAAGAUGUGCCUUUUGCCUUCCACCAUGAUUGUGAAGCCUCCCAGCCACAUGGAACUGUGAGUC
rnacentral:lncRNA from 10 species